GCCCAGAUGGCGGAAUUGGUAGACGCGCUCGUUUCAGGUAUUAGUGGAGGCGACUCCUUGGAAGUUCGAGUCUUCUUCUGGGCACCA
rnacentral:tRNA from 1 species